UACGAAGGCAGCAGUGGGGAAUAUUGCACAAUGGGCGAAAGCCUGAUGCAGCUAUGCCGCGUGUAUGAAGAAGGCCUUAGGGUUGUAAAGUACUUUCAUCGGGGAGGAAAAAACAAAACUAAUAAUUUUAUUUCUUGACGUUACCCGAAAAAGAAGCACCGGCUAACUCCGUGCCAGCAGCCGCGGUAAUACGGAGGGUGCUAGCGUUAAUCAGAAUUACUGGGCGUAAAGAGCACGUAGGUGGUUUUUUAAGUCAGAUGUGAAAUCCCUGGGCUUAACCUAGGAACUGCAUUUUGAAACUGAAAUACUAGAGUAUCGUAGAGGGAGGUAGAAUUCUAGGUGUAGCGGUGAAAUGCGUAGAUAUCUGGAGGAAUACCUGUGGCGAAAGCGGCCUCCUAAACGAAUACUGACACUGAGGUGCGAAAGCGUGGGGAGCAAACAGGGAUUAGAUACC
rnacentral:rRNA from 1 species